rnacentral:misc_RNA from 1 species
CGGACAGUUCCUCCGCUACAUUGACAACUGUGAUUUACAGUAUCCACAGGGUUUAUGUGUGGACACCAGAGACAACCUCUUUGUGACUGAGUUAACAACAGGUAAAGUGAAGAAAAUACAAUAUAACAUGUAAACAAACUGUGUAUAAUUAUCUAUCAAAUCAGUGUGGGUAGAUAAACUGUUAUGUGUAGACUAUGUAAACAGACUGUGUACAUAUAUUACAUAUAGAUAACGUGUUCAUCUUUAUUAUAAUAUGUCAGACAACUCUGUUUAUAUACCACAACAUAUAUAUGUGUGUGUGUGCAUAAAAUUAUAAUGUGUAUAACAUUAUGUGACAACAAAUUAACUGUGUUUAGAUCUAUUUUAUCAUAUUGACUUUACUAAAAUGAUUCCUGUAUGCAGAAUAUAACAUGUACAUGUGUCAAAUUAUUGUGCAUAAACAAAUCACUGAAAACAAACUUAAUGGACUGCUUAUACAUGGAUUUUAUUUGUACAAGGAACUUUGUGCAUACAUUUUGGUCAAAGAUUUGUUUUUAUUUUUGAAAAUGGAACUUUAUAUUUGGAAAAUUUAUUAAUUUGAAAAACAAAGAGAAAUGAUCAAGUCAUAUGUAAUUUAUCAAUGAUAUUUUCAUUAAACGAAU